rnacentral:sRNA from 1 species
GACCUGAGGCUCCCCUAACUGUCACCAGGAAAUCCUCUCCUGCUGUCCACUCUUCUUGGAGGGUGGGGUUCAGACACAGCUGGCCCCAGACCCUUGGGCUGCCAGCCCCUGGGGCUGGGCAGAGGCUUUGGGGCCCCUGGAGACCCUGAGCUGCUGCUGACCAAGGACCU